AUACGGAGGAUCCAAGCGUUAUCCGGAUUUAUUGGGUUUAAAGGGUGCGUAGGCGGACUGGUAAGUCAGCUGUGAAAGUUUGCGGCUUAACCGUAAAAUUGCAGUUGAUACUGUCAGUCUUGAGUGUGCAUGAGGUGGGCGGAAUUUGUGGUGUAGCGGUGAAAUGCUUAGAUAUCACGAGGAACUCCAAUUGCGAAGGCAGCUCACUGAGGCAUGACUGACGCUGAUGUACGAAGGUGUGGGUAUCAAACAGGAUUAGAUACCCUGGUAGUCCACACAGUAAACUAUGAAUACUCGCUGUUUGCGAUAUACAGUAAGCGGCCAAGCGAAAGCAUUAAGUAUUCCACCUGGGGAGUACGCCGGCAACGGUGAAACUCAAAUGAAUUGACGGGG
rnacentral:rRNA from 1 species